rnacentral:rRNA from 1 species
GCGUAUCAAUAAGCGGAGGAAAAGAAACUAACAAGGAUUCCCCUAGUAACGGCGAGUGAAGCGGGAAGAGCUCAAAUUUGAAAUCUGGUAGCCUUCGGUUGCCCGAGUUGUAAUCUAGAGAAGUGUUUUCCGUGCCGGCCCAUGUACAAGUCCCUUGGAACAGGGCGUCAUAGAGGGUGAGAAUCCCGUCCUUGACAUGGACCCCCGGUGCUUUGUGAUACACUUUCAACGAGUCGAGUUGUUUGGGAAUGCAGCUCAAAAUGGGUGGUGAAUUCCAUCUAAAGCUAAAUAUUGGCGAGAGACCGAUAGCGAACAAGUACCGUGAGGGAAAGAUGAAAAGCACUUUGGAAAGAGAGUUAAACAGUACGUGAAAUUGUUGAAAGGGAAACGAUUGAAGUCAGUCAUGCUCUUAGGAUUCAGCCGUUCUGCGGUGUAUUUCCUUUGAGUGGGGUCAACAUCAGUUUUGAUCGAUGGAUAAAGGCACGAGGAAGGUAGCACUCUCGGGUGAACUUAUAGCCUCGCGUCAUAUACAUUGAUUGGGACUGAGGAACGCAGCAUGCCUUUAUGGCCGGGAUUCGUCCACGUACAUGCUUAGGAUGUUGACAUAAUGGCUUUAAACGACCCGUCUUGAAACACGGACC